AAAACAUUAAAAGAUUUCAAGAAGAAAUAUACUGUCUCCCUCCUAAUAUUGUGAACAUGGCCAUUAGAAAUCAUCCAGAUGGAAAAUUCUUACAGCCUAAAACCAAAAAGCCAUUUAGGGUCGAAGACUAGCCAAUGUUUAUACCCUUCUUGGACCUCAAAAAAUUAGCAUCACAUCCAUAUAUUUUUGCACCUGUCUGCUAUUCAGAGCAUUGGUGGAUAUGGUGGCUGAUGCAAGAAAGAGAAAAUUUUAUAUACUUGACCCGUAUCACAAGACAUGUCCCUCUGAAGCCAGAAUGAAGCUAAAUAAAUUCGUUGGAUAUGUAAUUUCGAGAAUGAUGGUAUAUGUUGGGGGCACCUCUCAGGAAAAAGGAUAACGAAAUUGAACCACCAUAUAUUAACAUAUCAGGCUAAAAAACAAGGAGGAGGUGUAUCACUUUAGAGUAGAAUUUGCUUCCCGAAUUCUAUUCCAUGAAAUGAAUCAAGACAGAGGUGAAGCCAUUAGGGGAAGUGAUGCAGAAAGCUUGUCCAAGCCAUCCUCAUUGUUGUUGACUCCAUAUUUUCAGAUAGAUUCUUAUGAUAUUGACAGUGAUUAAUCUAAGUGUUAUGUAUUAUUGGAAUAGUUUGAACACUUGUUGUAAAAUUCUGCGAAUAUA